GGAAAUAGCUCAGUUGGUAGAGUGCUUGCCUCACAUGCACAAGGUCCUGGGUUCAGUCCCCAGUAUCACA
rnacentral:tRNA from 1 species